GCCCCCGUAGCCCAACUGGCAGAGGCACGCCACUUAAAAUGGUGCACGGUGCGGGUUCGAGUCCCGCCGGGGGUA
rnacentral:tRNA from 1 species